rnacentral:rRNA from 1 species
UACAGAGGGGGCAAGCGUUGUUCGGAAUUACUGGGCGUAAAGGGCGCGUAGGCGGCCUUCUAAGUCGAACGUGAAAUCCCCGGGCUCAACCCGGGAACUGCGUCCGAUACUGGAAGGCUUGAAUCCGGGAGAGGUGAGUGGAAUUCCGAGUGUAGAGGUGAAAUUCGUAGAUAUUCGGAAGAACACCAGUGGCGAAGGCGACUCACUGGACACAUAUUGACGCUGAGGUGCGAAAGCGUGGGGGAGCAAACAGG